UGACGACUUAACGCACGAUCGCAACAACGAUGAUCGAUGUCGUCGAUUACGACGAUCGUUCCGAUACGAGAGGACGCGUCCUGCCUCGUUCCUCUCUUCGAAGUCGACGCUAGUCCCCUUAUCUCUCACCCGCUAAAACGCGCGUUUCAAUUUCGCCGGUGUAUUUUUAAUAGCGUCGACGCGACGCUCUCGUUAAUCGCGCGUUAUCUGCCGCGAAGGAUCGCCGCGAAGAAAAGAGGAGAACGCCGUGAUAAAUAUUUCGAUAAGGAUCUAGCGUCCAAUUUAGACCGCCCGGAUCGCGUUCAUCCAUCAUUUCGAAAGUACUAGCACGGAGUGGCACCGGUGCUUGACGAAAAGCGUGUCGAGCGGGCGCGUUUCUCUCUCUCUCAGCUUCCAACAUUUCCUCGUAAAAGAUCUAAAACGUUCUAAACUACGGUCGCGGAGACGAGCGACGCGAGAAACGGUUGAAUACGAGAUCGGCACCCUUUGUUAUAGCCGUCGUAGACAUAUGUCAGAAUUAGUCACGAUGAACGGCAUACGUAUAGAAAGCGAACGAGUCUUUCUCUCUCGCUCGCUCGCUCGCUCGCUCAGUAACCCAACCACUUUUUCCGUCGUCCGUAAGUACUUGAUAAAGAGCCAGCAAUCGGUUAACCUUUUUAAGCACUACACGAUGACGGAUACUCACCUGCAGCUCGGUGGCACUCCGAGGAGAGCGACAAAGAGAUGAAAAGGUCGAGGAAGAGCGGUAGAAGGGAUGAAAACGGACGUACGCCCGUUGUCCGUUUCAAUGCUACCAUCCGUCGACAUCAGUUACGGUCUCUCGACUCUCGCGGUCUCCCUUUCAAGGAAUUUCUUGUCAGCCUCGGAUAAUCUUACCACUCUUUUUAUUUCCUUCUUCUCUUUUUCUCCCAUCUCUUUCUCUUUACUCCUUCGUGCCAAAGAAUCGACAGAAUUCGAGACAUUUUUUUACUUUUUGUUUUCUCUCUUUCCUUUACGCUUCUAAUCGAAUGAUUUUUAACGCCCGUUUCAUUCCGUGAACGCGCAUAAGGCGGCAUUAACGAGUAAGUAGGAACGAUUCGAUUCGUGCUCGUUGAAAAUGGUCCCAGCGCGGCAGUUAGCCCGAUGUAAAUUGUCUCCUACUCCUCUCCCUUCGUCCUCUUCUCCGCGAACAUCGGCCGUACGAAUUACGCGUCGACGACGGAAGACCCUAUAUUCCGAGGCACCGAACCGAACGUUUCGUGCCCUGCGGCUUGGAUGAAGAGUGAGAGAGAGAGAGAGAGAGAGAGAGUCAAGAUUCGAACAUGUGGCAUCAUUUGUUACGUGCAAAGUGGGCUUCCCCUUUGAGGCAUGGCUUAUCCAAGUCCGUUUAAAUGCACCCACAUACCCGGAAAGCCAAAGGCGUAAAGGAACGAGGAAUCGUUGAAGCGUGUAAACGCUUCGACGUCUCCUAUCGACGGAAAUCGAAAAUAAUCGAUGGGAAAAGGGACAAAUUCGCAGAUGCGCGUCUCUUAGACGUAUUCCGAGUACGUCGCUCACGUAAAGUACGCGCGAUCGUUCGAUAGGGAGACACUUUUCUCGACUUGGUCGAGAAAGAACUAAGUAGGAUCCUAGCCGAGGAUCCUACUGUUUCCAACGCGUACGAGCUUAACACCUUGGUAGGGUCCGACAGAAUGAUUUACAUCCGAACGCAGCCGGUGACAGGUCGAGAGAUAGGGUCGUCCAGGAAAUAUCUACCUUGAACGGCGAAAAACGUGCGUGGACUAGGCGAGAGGGUGAGCGGGGGUGGUACCCCAUAGGGUUCCCACUUUCCGUGGACAUAUGGUCAGGCCGUGGCUCGGUCUCGUCGUAACAAAAAAGCGCUACAGAAAGUGCGACAGAAGUUGGGAGUGUCGGUGGGCGAUAUAUCAGGGCUUAAACUGUCCCGUCGUACCAACCAUGUCCUACCACCGACUCGUGCUCGGUAGCAACGUGCUUCUAGCGGAGCUCGACCGACCGAAUGCUCACCGGCUUGCUUCGCUGCUUGGCUGGCUGGCUGGCUGGCUGGUGCGCGUAUGGCAUUGCGUUCGACAGGGGUCCUGGCAUUAGUUAAUAGGACUACCAGUGUAUCGAGGACACACGCUAAUACGUUAGAAGGAAGGGAUAUAACGUUAGGAACGGGACCGAUCGACGUCUAACCGAAUGCGGUUUCCAAUCUGUUACGUUUUUACCGUCUAAGCCUAAUACGCUUCGCGCCUGAAAUGGUCCGGAUAGAUUAUAUCGGGAAUUCGGCAUCUUUUCUCUCUCUCUCUCUCUCUCUCUCUCUCUCUUUUUCUCCUAAAGAAUCGCUCGUAACUACCUGCUGGCAUAAAUAUCGACCGAGUGGCCUCUCCCUUCUCAAAGUCAUUUGCGCGCGAAAGCCGAAACGAGAAGAAGCUUACCGUGGGAGUAACUCGACGGCAAAAGUACGUAAAGGCAAAGCUAAUCAGAAGAGAGCGGGUCCACUCCGUCGCCAAGGGGAAAACUCGUUACACAUUCAACGUGCCACCGAGAUUAUCAUAUCCCGGGUCCUUUGACGGCUGUGUAUAGCGUAUGGAUGUAUAUGUAUAUACCUACGUGUACCUAGACUCGAUCCUCGACGAAAGACUCUCGACGAAAUAUAAAACUUGAAGAAUCUCGGCGCUUACGUCUCUACGACGAUCGCUUCGGUUAUAUCGCGACGGUGACGGCGACGGCGACGGCGACGGCGACGGCGACGGCGACGCCGACGGUGAUGGCGACGACGACGACGACGACGACGACGACGACGACGGUUCCCGUCGUAUUCUCGGCCGGCCAGCACCCACCAUCUCGAGAGCAAAACUUGCCCUCGACGCGCGAUGAAUAAAAAUCGUUUGAUGUAUCGCUAGGUGCAAAUUAAUGCAUAAUCGUCAAACGUAAUGAGCUGUCCUGACGAUGACGCGAAGAGGCCGAGGUCGGUCCCGUAAAACGUUGUCUCGCUACCCGUCGAGUUUCCUCUCCUACCUUCUCGAAAGUUUGAUUAUUUUUAUAACGACUUGGUACGUCGAGUGCGUCGACGGGAAAGUAACGCGUCGCGCGCUCUGAAUUUCUUCCAUCUUUCUUCCUUCGGACUUUCCGUGCUACCUUUCGCGUCCCUUUCGGGCCGGAGGGAGGAGGGGAAACGCUUUCAUCCGGGCUUAACGUAAGUAUCGUUCUAACGACGUUAUGUAAAUUCCUUACGUCAAAUAAUUAUCAAGCAAGGUACAAAGUCACGAGCUAAGCGAAAUACGUUUCUACGAAAGGUGGGCGCCUAAAAAACCGGUCCAUCGAGAGCUCCUUCGCUUUCUAAUAUCUCCGCCAGUCAUUAGUCAGAGGGAUACACCUGCGUGCGCGUACGUCAAAAUAAUGAUCGCGGUGCGUACGUGUCCUUCGAAUCGAAACGUCGAUCAGGAUUCAUCGAAGCGUGAGAGGAGUAACUAGACGCGACCCGAUGGAACUAUGCCUCGCAGUAGAUCGUAGCUUUUUCCACGGUGCUUACGCAACCCUUCCUACCGAUCUCGGUGAUGCUGGAUCACGCGGUAUCAAUUAAUUCCAUCCAUAUAUCUCGUCGCGACGCAUGGAACGUAUAGCACGCUCGAAUCUCUCUCUCUCUCUCUCUCUCUCUCUCUCUCUCCGCUUCUCCUUGUCGCGAGCCGACUCGUUUUCUCGGGGACCGGUCUCGUUCGACAAAACGACGACGGCCACGCUCGUUUUCUAUCGCGGCACGUGGCCCGCUGCUAACAACAAUAGCGCCAAGUGACUUCCCCGCAUCAUCAUCAAUCGCCAUGGUCUCUCGCCCUUUCUGACGCACGCCCACCACCCUAGAUCACCUCUGCCUAACUUCGAAAUACCAAAGGCAAACAAGAGAGGAGCAAUGCCAAAAAGCGUUCCUUCCCUUUUGCUCUCUUUCGAUCUCUUUCUGCUCGCGAGAAAAACGUGCCUUGGGCGUGUCACUCUCACGCGCUUCUGGACCAAGCGAGCUUGGUCCUCCUCUUAUUUUAUUGCUUCGGAAAUUAAUGAGAUCGCCGAGCGAUACGCCGGAUACGCUCCGUCGCGAAAACGAUCGGUACACGCGCUGACGUUAUCGAUGCUUGGAACGUUUCUUUAUCUCCUAAACGCAUCCCUUUUCCGUGCAUACGUCGAAACGAAACGAAACGAAACGAACGGGCGGCGAUUCGACGAAAGCUAGAGGUACAUCUGGCGUGUUAUGGUUGCCGCGAAAGUAAUCGCCGAGGAAUCCGUCGACCAACGGAUAAAAACCACGAUACUCGGGCUUGAUGGAUGAAGAUCGAUGUCGUGUACGCGGCAACGGCUUGCAAAAGCGAGCACACCCACCCCCACGACGGCGGCGACUCGCGCGCGCACGCUCGACGUCGUUACACACCUCAUAUCCUUCCCUUCGACUUAAUAUCCUUCGACGCGCGAGAAAAGCUCCAAGGAUGCGAGAGAUGGUAAACGCGUCAGGUGCUUCUCGAGGCAGCAAAGCUUGUUACUCGAGUAGCUACUCUAUCGGCCGCCUAUUUCCUUUCCUUUCGUUUUAUUUCACUGUAUUUUUUUAUCAUGCUUAUUUAUAAAACUCGUCGAGCCGUAAACGGAAUGUUUACGAGCUAUUCCUAUCCAUCGAGAAGAAUUGGAAUCCGAAAAGAUCCAGCGGCUUAGGCCAUGGCCGGACCUGUCAGAGAGCGAUUAUUGAUGAUACGCAUUGAUGGCCAUCGAGAAAGAGCUGACCGCCGACUUUGCUUGGCAACGAUCGCUAACGCGAAUAUAAUACCGGCUUCUUCGCCCUAUCUUCAUAAGGGCGGCCAACAAUACAAUUUUCAUUCUCGGACGAAGGGUAAACGCUUCCGCUCGUUCGCUCUCUCUCUCUCUCUCUCUCUCUCUCUCCCUCCCUUCUUGACGUCGCCAUCAUUUUCCAUACGAGUGGGAUAUUCAUUUUGACGAGGCAUCGUCGACAUUUCCCUCUUCGACGUUAUCGUUCUUUCGCGGACACAUCGGAGGUAAUGGCGUGUGCCCUUUCGAAAGCCCUCCGUCACGGACGAUUUUGCCUCGCGGCGACAUUAUUUAUCAUUUUCCAGUGAAGUUUCUUCCAGCAUGUUUUCUCCUUUCCGGUACCUCUCGUAGAAAGGCUAACGCAUUUGCAUAGUGUUCCUUUUCGUACGUUUCAUUUCUUCGGCUUCGUUCCCCGGUCUCUGCGAUAACUCGUCUCCAGUUAGGAUUAUCCCGUAUCGUUGGAAAUAAGAAUGAAUAAGUAGGUGGAAGGAGAAACGCGGGCAAACAAAGCUGACGCUAGACACCGCACGUGUGUUUGCUGCUACCCGCGGUGCCCUGCGAGAGGUCCGUCAGAAACGAGAUAGGACUCUUCCGCGAACCUUUUCUGCGGCACGGUAUCUCUGACGCACGAAGAGCAGAGAGAGAGGGAGAGACUGACCCGUUGCGCAAAUCCGUGAAGGGGAAGUCUCGCGAUUCGGCAUCCCGCCGAAGGGAUCGCCCUUGCCACGUGACGUUAGUGUUUGCUGGGUACACAGAGCUCGGUGUUUGGUACACACGGUUCUGGAAGGCACAAUGCUCGAUGGGUUACCAAAACAGCGGCGCGACGCCAGCAUAAGCGAUAUUUGUGUCAGCAUAAAGGGUACCCUCUAUAAAGCCACGUUAAAAGAACAACCUUCCAACUCUCUCUCUCCCUCUCUCUCUCUCUCUCUCUCUCUCUCUACUUCUCUCUUUUCUUUCACUCGCGUUCGUCGAUUUUCGCGCAAAUGUGGGAGCAGUCGAAAGGCAAGACUCGUUGAAGGAAUUCAAAUGCAUACCGAGCAAUCGGAUUAAUCUUCGAAUAUAUACGCGGAGAGACGUCAAGAGUAAGAGCCGCUGCCGUGGGAUUAAUCGGCAUAGAUAGUCGUGUAGCGGAAGAUUAUGAUGGCUCAACUAGAGUGCGUCAGCUCCCACGGAGAUCCGACGGGAGACAACCCUUCGUACACGGUGAGCCCAUUUGUAUGCAACUUUGAAAACAGGUAACAAUUUUUCCUUCUUAAAAAACGCUUAUUAUUUAAACUCGUCGUCGAUCAUUUAAAGUUUCUUUUCGUCGUCGACUUUGACGCGAGAAAGAGGCAGCUGAAAAAAUUGGUCGAUCAUCGACCGCUACGCUAGCCAACAACACCCCGAACGAAGCAAGGAUUUCGAGCUAAACGACCGUUGACUAAUGUCGCCAAAGACGAAAACGCUUUGCAGCCGGUUCGUACGCCGACGACAGUCGCAUUAGCCACAGGACGAGAUUACAAUGGACCCCUCUGUUUUUCACGCUCGAUCGGGGCAACUCGAAGGGAGAGGUAACGCAGCAACCCCCUUGCUUUAUCCUUCAGGAGCACCGUAUUUGCCGGAGGAGAUUUGUGAACUAGUCGCGAAUCUACUUUCUACGUGUCAAAAAUUUAUCGACCACGCUUGGAGAUAGCCUCGAAAUAUUUGCAACCUAGCCAAAGAUUUUUUUCUCUUCUCGAGAGAAAGAAAAUAAAUAACUCUGAUAGAGAGAUGGAGAAAGAGAGAGGGAAAGAGACUCUACGAGGCUGGUUUUACACCGUCGGUGUCACGCUAAAUCUCCGAUGCAUUGUUCGCGCCCCUUCUCACCGCCACGAUUUUCCAUCGGCACCCCUCGGAAGCGCGUCACAGUCAAGCCAACCUCUCUACUACUCCCCGUUGGACUUUUCGAAACUCAUUCCCCUCCGCGCCAGAAAGCAUCGGGGGUGAUCGCGGAACAAACGUAUAUAUCCGUCGAAUCGAUUCUACGAUAGUUACGCGCUUGGAUCCGUUGCGCGCGGAAACAGCUAACUCCUUUUUUAUACCACUCGAACGAUCCUUUUCUAUUCCGCUGAUUUCUCGAAAAUGCGAUCAUUUCAGGAAAAUACGAUCGCGAAAAUUCCUCUCCCCGGUCCCGUUUAUUUCCAACGGAAAGAAUAAAUACAUAAAUAAUAACGCUCGCAGGCGAUUCGCUCGAUUAGCGAAGGCGAUUAAUAAUUAAGAUCUUUGGCGCGGGACCCUAAAAAGCCGCGGGCAGUCUCCUCCACCGUCGAGAACAGCGGGUAAUGGCAAUUUACGCGUCCCGCGGGACCAGAUAACUUCAUAUCUGCUUGCUGAUCAUUCAUUCUCUCAAUGGCCAUGAUAUUGCCAAAUUGAAUUAGAUAAGCGAAGGCAUGUAUCUUGCGCGUACGUGCCUGGACGCAAAAGAAUACGUCUCUCUCUCUCUCUCUCUCUCUCUUCUCUUCGUGACGUCUCCUAUACUAUUCCCGAUACUUUUCCGACGUCGUUCGCGAACGAUUUUCCUUUCGCUCUAGUUAACAAAGUUUAAGGGAGCUAAUUACAGAGGCGAGCUUCGAUCCGCCAACUUACGAUCCGGCUAAACUAAACCAUAACGGAUAAAAGUGAGAUAAGAAAAAUUCGACGCUCGGAUAAACAACGCAAAGACGAAGUAGUACUGUGUGCAGUCACGUUUAUCGUUAGUAAAUUCCAUCGAGGCUCGUUGGCGGAGACGAGAGGGCGAGUAAACGGUGGUAUUUCGUUACCACCGAUGGCGGAUCGGUGCCACGUGGCCGAGAUUAAUGUGUUUUGAUUUUUGGACUUUGUAUUAUAACCGUCGUAAGCCUACCCCGUCAUCGCAUACGAACGUUCUCGCACGGCAUGGUGCCUCGCCCUGACGUGCUCCACGUGGUGCUAGCUCGCGUUAUUCUUCUCUCGUGAAUCCUCUAGAAUCCUCCUGGAAAAUCGCAUCGAUCUUUCUGACACGCGACGGAUAUUUACCGUGGAAAUAUUUGAAAAAAAUGAUGCGAUUCCUUUCGCCAACAGCGAAAAGUUUCCUAGUCGUAAGGGUUUAGGAGAAAGGAGAAAAGGACGGGUUGCUUGCUAUACGCGUCGUUUCAAUUUAUCUCCCGUUUUUUAACGUUUCAAUUUAAUUAACGACACUCGAGCGAGCUAACGUCGGUCGCAUGGACGAUGGGAGUGGGAGACGACCCGAUUAAUUCCUUUGUCGCCUAUCCGCCGUUGAAAUAACAAACCUCUUCGACGGACGGGAGUCGAGAGGAUACAAGGACGAUAAAAUCACGAGGGUUCACGGGAUAAAAAGGCGGCUCGAGGAGGAUGAGGAACGAGGAGGGUGGCGACGGGCAGAGAGGAAACGACGAUCGAGAAUGGAAGAGUGGAAUAGGGACGGUUUGUGGACCUCCGACACUCUCUCCCCCGCCUUCAUUUUCCAGGACAAAACGCCGAAAAGAAUCUAAUAACGCGAAGAGGAGAUCCAGUUUCGCCAUUAUUCCGUCGACUCUCGAAAUACGGGAGUGGGAGCCUUGGAUGAGGACGAAAAGGAGGAUAAGAGGAGAAAGAGGAUGAGGGAAGUAGAAGGUCUGUAGUCUCCUGUCGGGAGCAAAACGUCACGAAGGAAGCCCCGGUUUAUCGAGAAUUUUGAGAAUGGUAAUGUAGAGGGUAAGAGAGCCGAAUUCGCAGACGGAGGAAAGAGGAAGGCGCAGAGUCGUGGGAAGAGGGAAGGGAAGAAGCGGAAAGGUAAGAAAGGGAGAACUUCUCCGGGUCUCUCCAAGUAAUCCUGCUGCCGGUAGAGGAGAGGGAAGAAGGUAGGAGAAUAUAGGAUGAAAAUACCUGGAGUUAGAGAGGUCUUACUCGACUCACCCUCGCGUUUCCUCUCUCUCUCUCUCUCUCUCUCGCUCUCUCGUCACCAUCUCCGACCAGGCUUUCUCGUACCGCACAGCACACGCCAGUUGGUCCCAAAUAAGACAAAAGUCAUCAUAUAAUUCCACGGCUAAUACUCGGCUCGCAUUAAUUUCUCGCGAGCUUUGCCCAAGUUCUUUUCGAAUUUCUUUCGAGGAAAAGUUGUAUCAACGAAUACCACCUUCUAACUUGUACGCAAAGAAACCACUCGAUAGGAGGGAAAACUUUGACUAACUGUGGAAAAUUACCAACGAUAGGAUUACUCGAACGAUUACGCGAGAUAUUCAAUUGCGUCGCAGUUGUCGAGAACGGCUUCCACAUUUACGAUUGACAAUCGUAAGGCACAUGAUGCGGCUCGAUUAUUCUAAUUCUAAUCUAAUUUCUAGUGGAUCGCAUCUCUUUUAUCGUUGUUCGUUGUUCGCUCUUUGUUGUUCGUUGCAUAAUAAAAUUCUAAGGGCGUUUUUCGCUAUA